AUUGAACGCUGGCGGCAUGCCUUACACAUGCAAGUCGAACGGUAACAGGUCUUCGGAUGCUGACGAGUGGCGAACGGGUGAGUAAUACAUCGGAACGUGCCCGAUCGUGGGGGAUAACGAAGCGAAAGCUUUGCUAAUACCGCAUAAGAUCUACGGAUGAAAGCAGGGGACCGCAAAGCCUUGCGCGAACGGAGCGGCCGAUGGCAGAUUAGGUAGUUGGUGGGAUAAAAGCUUACCAAGCCGACGAUCUGUAGCUGGUCUGAGAGGACGACCAGCCACACUGGGACUGAGACGCGGCCCAGACUCCUACGGGAGGCAGCAGUGGGGAAUUUUGGACAAUGGGCGAAAGCCUGAUCCCGCCAUGCCGCGUGCAGGAUGAAGGCCUUCGGGUUGUAAACUGCUUUUGUACGGAACGAAAAGACUCUUUCUAAUAAAGAGGGUCCAUGACGGUACCGUAAGAAUAAGCACCGGCUAACUACGUGCCAGCAGCCGCCGUAAGAC
rnacentral:rRNA from 1 species